rnacentral:rRNA from 1 species
UACGUAGGUCCCGAGCGUUGUCCGGAUUUAUUGGGCGUAAAGCGAGCGCAGGUGGUUUAUUAAGUCUGGUGUAAAAGGCAGUGGCUCAACCAUUGUAUGCAUUGGAAACUGGUAGACUUGAGUGCAGGAGAGGAGAGUGGAAUUCCAUGUGUAGCGGUGAAAUGCGUAGAUAUCGGGAGGAACACCAGUGGCGAAGGCGGCUUCCUGGCCUGUUACUGACGCUGAGAUGCGAAAGCGUGGGGAGCGAACGGG